rfam:Stegodyphus mimosarum contig111686, whole genome shotgun sequence.
GCCUUCGUGGUGUAGUGGUCCGCACGCUCAGUGCUUAUUCGAAAGGUCCGUGGUUCGAGUCCCGGCGAGGGCA